UUGCACUUGAAAGAUUUAACAUUGAGACGAGUGGCGAACUGGUGAGUAACACGUGGGUAACCUGCCCUUGAAGUAGGGGAUAACACUUGGAAACAGGUGCUAAUACCGUAUAACAACCAAAACCACCUGGUUUUGGUUUAAAAGACGGCUUCGGCUGUCACUUUAGGAUGGACCCGCGGCGUAUUAGCUUGUUGGUAAGGUAACGGCCUACCAAGGCGAUGAUACGUAGCCGACCUGAGAGGGUAAUCGGCCACAUUGGGACUGAGACACGGCCCAAACUCCUACGGGAGGCAGCAGUAGGGAAUCUUCCACAAUGGACGAAAGUCUGAUGGAGCAACGCCGCGUGAGUGAUGAAGGGUUUCGGCUCGUAAAACUCUGUUGUUGGAGAAGAACAGGUGUCAGAGUAACUGUUGACAUCUUGACGGUAUCCAACCAGAAAGCCACGGCUAACUACGUGCCAGCAGCCGCGGUAAUACGUAGGUGGCAAGCGUUGUCCGGAUUUAUUGGGCGUAAAGCGAGCGCAGGCGGUUUUUUAGGUCUGAUGUGAAAGCCUUCGGCUUAACCGGAGAAGUGCAUCGGAAACCGGGAGACUUGAGUGCAGAAGAGGACAGUGGAACUCCAUGUGUAGCGGUGAAAUGCGUAGAUAUAUGGAAGAA
rnacentral:rRNA from 1 species